rnacentral:rRNA from 1 species
GAUGAACGCUGGCGGCGUGCUUAACACAUGCAAGUCGAACGGAGAGAAAGUGCUUGCACUUUCUCUUAGUGGCGGACGGGUGAGUAACGCGUGGGUAACCUGCCCUAUGCAGGGGGAUAACAACGAGAAAUCGUUGCUAAUACCGCAUAAUAAAGAAGAGCUGCAUGGCUUUUCUUUCAAAGAUUUAUCGGCAUAGGAUGGACCCGCGUUGGAUUAGCUAGUUGGUGAGAUAACAGCCCGCCAAGGCGACGAUCCAUAGCCGGCCUGAGAGGGUGAACGGCCACACUGGGACUGAGACACGGCCCAGACUCCUACGGGAGGCAGCAGUGGGGAAUAUUGCACAAUGGGCGCAAGCCUGAUGCAGCGACGCCGCGUGAAGGAUGAAGGUCUUCGGAUUGUAAACUUCUAUCAGCAGGGAAGAAGGAGUGUCUUCGGACACUCUUGACGGUACCUGACUAAGAAGCACCGGCUAACUACGUGCCAGCCGCCGCCGUAA